rnacentral:misc_RNA from 1 species
GUAGGUGAACCUGCGGAAGGAUCAUUAACACGUUUCGUUCCGAACGUUUUUGACCCAUCUAUUUUCCGUGCACCCCCCUUAACCGGCCUCCUGGCUCGACCUUCCGGUUUACUGGAUGUGUCCGGUCAGGCGUCUUCAGGGUCCAUAGGAGCAUCGGUUCGGAAGGAUUGUGCGGGCGUAAUGCCUGCCUUUCUUAGUACGUGUCGAAGCACCUCCUGGAGGCGUUGCCACCCAACCCCAACCCUUAAAUCUAAUUGCUCUGAACUAACAGUUGACGCGGGUCGCAAGGCUCGUUUCAACGAAGAUAAACAAACAACAACUCUUAACAACGGAUAUCUUGGUUCUC